UAGGGAAUCUUCCGCAAUGGGCGAAAGCCUGACGGAGCAACGCCGCGUGAGUGAUGAAGGUCUUCGGAUCGUAAAACUCUGUUAUUAGGGAAGAACAAAUGUGUAAGUAACUAUGCACGUCUUGACGGUACCUAAUCAGAAAGCCACGGCUAACUACGUGCCAGCAGCCGCGGUAAUACGUAGGUGGCAAGCGUUAUCCGGAAUUAUUGGGCGUAAAGCGCGCGUAGGCGGUUUUUUAAGUCUGAUGUGAAAGCCCACGGCUCAACCGUGGAGGGUCAUUGGAAACUGGAAAACUUGAGUGCAGAAGAGGAAAGUGGAAUUCCAUGUGUAGCGGUGAAAUGCGCAGCGCUAUGGAGGAACACCAGUGGCGAAGGCGACUUUCUGGUCUGUAACUGACGCUGAUGUGCGAAAGCGUGGGGAUCAAACAGG
rnacentral:rRNA from 1 species